AGCAAUAAAAAUAAUCAUUUAUUGAAAUGGACUAAGUUGAGACAAAAUGCACUUUGUUUCAUCAUAUAAACAGUUAACCCUCGUCUUCGGCCACUCUCAGCGACACCACGCACACGCUGUGUACUACCAGCGAACUUUAUUGAUGGUGCGUGUACUGAGUACACGAUGCGACCGGGAAACUAUUGGUCGUGAUAAGAUUGCGAUUGUGGACAGACAUUAACUUGCCGAUAGAAUUCCGAAUUAUUUAUGGUACACUGAAGUUUUUUUUUACGCGGUACCUCGUAAAAAAAAACGAGUUAUUUUAAAAAACGUCGUAAAAAAACCGCGUUAUUUCAAAACCCGUCGUAAAAAAACGUUUUGGUCAUCUGACGAACUACAUGGGGAUGCUGUGCGAUUGCAUACUUGGAGGCGUAUUCUGUGGGUCUGGCGAUAUUUCAUCGAUUUUCACAAAAACUGUAAUAGUUAUCAAAAUAGUUGCCUGUUAAGCGGAGAAAUUUGAUUAUUUGCAAGAAAAUGUUUGUUAGUUUAUACUAUUUCCAUGAUUCAGCAGUAUUCAUGGCUAAACAUGGAGAUACACUUAAGUUUUUUUUUACGACGGUAAUGGUCCCGCGUAAAAAAAACCGCGUUAUUUCAAGACCCGCCGUAAAAAAAACCGCUUUAUUUCAAGACCCGUCGUAAAAAAAACCGCGUUAUUUCAAAAAACGUCGUAAAAAAAGUCAAGUCGCGUUAGAUGUGGUGCUGACUAUUUUACGCGUGUUUUUGAAAAAACGCGGAUUUUUUUACGACGGUUUUUGAAAUAACGCGGUUUUUUUACGACGGGUCUUGAAAUAACGCGGUUUUUUUAGGACGGACUGAGACGAGACUCGCGAAGACGGUUUUCUUUUUAUCCACUUUGUUAUUUUUUUCUUCUUCCUAUCUGUGUUGACAUUAUGUUUUGGGCUGGUGGUUCAAACACGUACGUGAUCGCAUCACCUCACAUGCAGUGUGACUGAAUCCCAUUCACGCACAAAAUCAUGUUGAGGUGAAAUUUUGCAUCGCCAACAAUCGCCAAGUAAAGUAAUCAUUGGAAUAUUUCUAACAGACGAUUGGGAAUUGUGAUUUUCUCAGCUUAAAAUGCUUCCGUAAAGGUUUUUGUCACCAGGAGCGCAUAGUACACUCUAAAAAUUCUUCACGUCCGAUCCACGUGAAAUUUCAUGUAACCGACCUUCUCAAAAUCACAUAAGUUACGUGAUUCAUGUAACUUUUAUCUGCUUCCCACUUCAUGUUUACUCGAAAGUUUAGUAACAUUGAUCACAUUUAAACGUGGAUGGCUUCGGUGCCUUUGUGUUAGUGUGUUUGUGAGUUUGACAUUUCCGCGAACGUGGAUUUCAUGUAUGCAGAAAUAAACCAAUAUGGCGUCUACAAACAAAUUAAUCGACGAUCUGCUAACUGAUCUGAAGUUUUCGUGUAGUUUGCUCAAAGUUUGCUGCAUUUUUAGAAGGUAAUUGUUUACAGUUAAAGAUUUGACUUAAUUUAACAUCGUAUUAAUUCACCAUCAGAAUCUUUCUGUUUUCAAAUAUUUCAGAACGCGGCAUUGGAAUUUUACGGUGACUGAAGAUCAACUUAAGCAAAUUUUGGAGCUCUUCGAAAACGAGAACUUGGUGCCAAGAAACGCUGAGUUGUUUCCGCCUAUUGAAACCUGAAGAAUAGGAACAAGUGAUUACAAGCAAUUUGGCUGGAAGAAGCAUCAUUUAAGCACUGGAAGAUGGGGAAGAGAUGAUUGUCUGCGAAGGAAGCUACGGAAUGGGCGAAGUCAAACAUUCAAGUCGUAAUCAUCAAUGGAGAAGCAUACCUGGGUACUGCCUGCACUGUCCAGGGAGAAGCCGCAUUACAACUCGGAGUCUAAGUCACCGAGUUGGAGUUCAAAGGAAGACGACGCUGGAGUGAAGAGUCACAUCGAGGACGAUGUGUUAUAUCAGAAUGGCCGAGCUGUAGUAGGCCGUGGUGUGUUAAUUAAGUGAGUUAUGUCAGAAUAAAGACAGUUCAGGUCAGAACCGCUCGCAUUUCCAUUACUCUCCCUACAAUAUAUACAAGUCGAAUUGAAACAUAUCAGGCCAAACAUGUCUAAAGGUCCUAUCUGCAGAAGAGAGGCUCUCUUUGGUUUCUCUCUCUUUCGUUAAUAUCUCAGCUGUUUAUUUGAAUUAUGAUUGUCUCCUUGCAUAGAACGAUAGUCAAAACAACCGUCUUUUGAUUUGUACUGCAAAAGUAGUUGAAAAGUGUACCAUUACAUUGCAAUAAUUGAAAGAGAAAGUGAACAAAGAGAGCCUCUCAAAUGCAGAUAGGACCUAUUGAAAUGUUUGGCCUGAUAUAACACAAAGAACUCACGAAUGUUACAUUUAGAACACAUUAAACAAUUAUUUUGUCUUAUUAUUGUAACAAUUAUUUAUACCCGUAACAAAAUGCUUCCAGUUUCGCCUUAAGUUAGGCGUGAUAAAUUUGGCACAUAUUUACGGAAACAAGCAAUUAAAAAUGUGAGUGCAUAGUACCAAUGCACGGUAUUAGGGCAUGGUUCCUUUUGUGUUCCAAAUACCGUGUUUCGGCUAAAACUGCAAACUAAAGAUAUUAUUGAUACUAUUUACUUUAUGAAUCAAUUGUACAAACCUCUAGGCAACGUUUAACGCACAGGUUCUUUUAAGUAUGAACUUAAUAUGUGUUCGCGUCCAUCGAGCGCUCCGGUGGAAAAAGUGCCCCACUUUCCCCUGUCACGCGAAUGAAGACGGAAACCGUCAAACGUGGGUGCGCCAUCAGCAGCAGAAACUUGUUCACACGCCGCUACCACCACCAUCAUCAGCACUCUCAAUGUAAACACGCGCGCUGGCGCCAUCGCCACCGUCGGGAACUCAGUGUCAUCAUCAUCAUCGCUAUCAUCGCGACGGAGAGAGCCGACCGCGUGGGAUCCAGUGCAGCCAGAUUUCUGGAUGGUUCUGGAUUAUUCAAAGUUAUGUCGCGCAACAUUUUUGGGAGCUUUAAAAGCAGACACGGACCAGCGUACGACGAAAUAGUCUGUUUUGACCCGGCUAACGGUCAAGUGAUAUAUCGAAAUGUACAAGCGUUCGCGUGGCUUCGAUGACGCGAAGUAGAAGUGUAAAAGCGUUUGCGUGGCAUCAACAACGCAAUGUUGAGUAGAAUAAAGUGCUUUUAGUGUUAAGUACUUCUCGUGUGUUUUCUUUCUUGCGAGGAAGAAAUUCCCGUUUGAGGCAUUGCGGAGUCUUAAACAUUUUGUUGUUCGAACCGGAUUCCUAUGUUCCGUGGCUUCCCGAGGUCUUGCGAGACAUUUUCCUGCCAGGAAUACUGAAGGAGUCCACCGCUUCCCGCUUGAGACACUGCUGCGCCUCAACAAUAUGAUUGAUAUAGGGAUGAUUCAAAGGAUCACCAAUGUAUGCGGGUCACAUACACGGUAUUGGGAACAAUGCUAUGUUUAACCAUUUUGAUUUUAACCUUCCAGAACGCGCGCCAUCAAGCAGCUGAAACUGCACCGCGCUCGCGCUGUAUACGACGAGCGAGGUUUUUUGGUAAUAUUGUACUUUUUACAACGACGCGCGCGCUGAAGGGUUAAGGUCUUUAGGGCAUGGCACGGUAGAAUCUUGAGUUUCUUUGUUUCUUAUUGUUUGAUAGGCCAAACUAUAAGUGUAAUAGAAAAAAAAAAUAAUUGUAUAGAAUGUUGUUACCAUACAAUCACAGACAAACAGACGUAACACUCUGAAAAUUCCCAUCGUACUUCGAUUUAACGAUCUUUUUCAAAAUUUAAUAGUUGGCCAACUACCCACCUGUAGCGCUCACAUCGUUUUUGUUCGAGUUUGACGUUUGCUCACUACCGCCACCUAGGUGAUGGUCGGCCAAACUUAGUCAUUUUAGCAUUGGGCGAAUGUUUCCGUGACUAUGAUUUGAAUCGAAAAAUGUUCGAAGUUUUACGUCUGUUUGUCUGUGAUACAAUAGUAGACUUUUUAAAUCAAUGUGUUAGAGCACCUUUAACGGUUCUAUACCUUGUUUGGCAGCCCUCCAUCAUUGCAGCAAACUUUACCGGUCGCUGCUAGAUACGCUCGCAAAAUAGUAGCGCUAUGGGUGGGUGAUCACAUAUGGAUUACUGCACGAAUUUCUACUGGCCUGCUUACUCUCACACGAAAUUUGACGUUUGAGCGGUGUCGGCACCUCCUAAAUGUCAAAUUUUCUGUGAGAGUAAGCAGGCCAACAUAAAUUCGUGCAGUGGACCAUAGCAGCGCGACAGUUGCGUCGCUAAAAAUGCUAUGGGAAUAUGACAGCCUUUCCGAUACGAAUCAGGGUGACUAAUUUGAUUACUACUACUGAUUACUUAGCACAGAGAAACAGACGUAACACUUAGAACAUAUUUCAUUAAAAAACAUCGUCACGAAAACGUAAUCGCCCAAUGCUAAACGUAUACUGUAUUUGGCCGGGCCGCCAAUAAAUGGCGGUAGUGAGCAAACGUCAAACAGGAGCAAGUGGCCGACAAUGGUAGAUCGGCCUACUAUUAAAUAUUUGAAUCAACCGUUAAAAAGGUAAUCGAUGGGAAGCAAUCAGAGUGUGACGUUUGUUUCUCUGUGGUGUUAGGUUUUUGAGGCUGUCAUAAACCACGUGGUCAUUUUCCUGGAUAUUCCGAAGCCACCCCCGCUCCCUUGCGUGGUCUUUCGUACAUAUUUUUUUUUAAUUUGUAUGGACCGUGGUCUUUCCUCACACUCCCCAAUAAUCAGCCGGUUGCGAUUCGUCCAUGUUUUUGAAGUCAGCAUCAGUUUCAGGGCAAACAUUUGAUUUGAGCGUGAUUUACGAGUAACAUUUUUUAUCUCUUCUUCAGGUCUCAAAUUACGAGCUGAUUCACACACAUCUUUAUUUUAGAGUAACAUAUAUAUAUCAGCUAACAAAAUAACUUUUUGUUACGAUUGCCCUAGUAUUUUGGAAACUAAUAUAUUUUGUUUGGAAAAAUAUUUUGCCUUUUUCAAUUGUUGGUCCUGAAACGAUUAUUUGUUUGGGGUUCAGCACGCAGUGGGGUUCAGCUGAGAGAGGAGACAGCCACAAUGUUUACAUGUCUUCUUCUUACUUCUUUUUACAACUUUUAGCGCCGCACAAUGGUUUGAAAAAAAAAUAAAUUACAUAUUGAGUUCGUUGCGACAGAGCAUGGAAAAUAAAUGAGUACGUUGCGCUGGUCGUGGGAAACUGAUCAAUAAUAUUUUAUCUUUUUUAAAUACAACAAACGGAGCAAAAUUUUGAUGGGAUCUUUUGCAUAUUUGGCCACUCCCACACCAUCAAUGUGCGAUUUUCAGCUCGGUUCGCGGUGACAGUUUGUGACAGGUCCUCCUUGACAUUAAGUAGCAUGCAAUCACGCAAUCGAAGCCAGCUGUCUCCUCUCUCUCAGGGGUUCAGAGAUGUUGGCUCACUGUUUUCCUGUGGGGUGGUAUUCAGGUGACAGCCGCCUGCCAAUAAUGACCACGUGGUUUAUGGACAGCCCCUUUCUAGUGUCACAAAUCCCGAAAUUUUCACAACCAUUCAAGAAUAUUUUCAAUUUUUUUUUCUCACUGCGCAUUUUAUUUUUUUCUUCCAAGGCGACAAUGUUAUCAGCAUGGCUGUCAACGGAUUGAUACACAUCUCCAGUGGUAACUCGAACGGAAAUGUCGAAGGAAUAUUUACCACGGAGGACGAAGCCGAUGGUUCUAUCGAGCAAAGCAUUAUGUACGACUUUAAGGAUGACUCCACAGCAUCAGUAAAUCUCCUUAGUGUUAACAGUCUCAUCGAUAGUAAUCAAAUUAUUGGUUUAUAUAAUGCAGAAACAAGUAUUUCCUUAAACGGAGUAAAAUAUUUGAAACCAAAAACAUUAUUAAAGGAAAUUAUAUCGUAUCAAAGAUUUGGUAAAAUUGAUAGAACAGUUUAUAGCAAUCUGAAUUUUAAGUGCCAUUUAUGUGGAUUCAGUUGUGCAAUGCGGGAAACUUUACUUAAGCAUUUCGAUGAAGAACAUCCGAUUUGAUUUGACAUUUUGUAAGAUUAUGUAAAUAUCCUGAGAAUAAAUUAUCACUAUUGAAUUACUAAAAAAAACUUAUUAUUUAAAUUUUCUAUAGCGACAUUUGUUUAUUCAUAGUUGUUUUUUUUUGACAUUUUCUCAUUUGUUUAUUUUUGUUUCAGGAUACGAGCUGCGGCAAAUUGAGUAUCUGGAAGAAAUUGUAGAAUCACCAACUGCGGCUCCUACAGUGAUGCUCGAAGUCAAAUCGAUAAAGGAUGGAUGUUCUUUUGGGUAUAUUGUGUCGGAGGAGAGUCCUACGAUGACGACUUCCGAUGUUUGCCAAUUCAAAUCACACAGGAAAAAACGGAAAAUACCUCUCCAUAUGCGCCCCCGAACGAAAUCGGAAACUAGUUUUGGAUGUCCUAAAUGUGGCAAGGCAUAUUCACUAGCAAAAAAUAUGAGACGGCAUGCGCGGUUAGAAUGUUUCCAGGAACCAAAAUAUGCUUGUUCUUAUUGUCCUUUAAAAUGCAAGCGAAACAACCAGUUGCAGAGACACAUACUGGCAAAGCACAAUAACAAUAAUUAAAAUGUACUGUGAAGAAAAUGGUACUCUUAUAAGAGCAAUAAAAGGUCGGGUCUCAGUUGUGCUGAA